rnacentral:rRNA from 1 species
AACGCUGGCGGCGUGCCUAAUACAUGCAAGUCGAACGAGGUAGCAAUACCGAGUGGCGAACGGGUGAGUAACACGUAGGUAACCUGCCUUACAGUUUGGGAUACCCGAGGGAAACCUUGGCUAAUACCGAAUAAUUCUUCGGAGGCAUCUCCAGAAGCUAAAAGGGGCCUUUAAAGCCUCGCUGAAAGAUGGACCUGCGGCGCAUUAGCUAGUUGGUGAGAUAACAGCCCACCAAGGCGAGGAUGCGUAGCCGACCUAAGAGGGUGAACGGCCACACUGGAACUGAGACACGGUCCAGACUCCUACGGGAGGCAGCAGUAGGGAGUUUUCGGCAAUGGGGGAAACCCUGACCGAGCAACGCCGCGUGAACGAAUGAAGGUCUUCGGAUUGUAAAGUUCUGUUAUAAGGGAAGAAUGAUAACUUGAGGAAAUGCUAGUUAUUUGACGGUACCUUAUUAGAAAGCCACGGCUAACUACGUGCCAGCCGCUGC